AGUACAUACCACUAGUGAACUCCCCUUAACAAGUCAAAGCUACCAACAAUAAUUUGGCUACAAACCUCUAUUAGCAAAUAGUAGCUCCGGAGACGCACCAAUGAAGCAAUUCUACAGGUAUGCUGAUGUCAUCGCCAUGUCAAUUGACAUGUAGCCACGCGGAAGCACUAUGCAUAAUGCGUUUUUGACACGUGGACCUUGUUAAGAUGCUUUGAUUUGUUGAGAUUCUUACCUUGAUUCAUGUCCUAAGUCUUCCUAAUUA
rnacentral:misc_RNA from 1 species